rnacentral:rRNA from 1 species
UACGAAGGGGGCUAGCGUUGCUCGGAAUUACUGGGCGUAAAGGGAGCGUAGGCGGAUAGUUUAGUCAGAGGUGAAAGCCCAGGGCUCAACCUUGGAACAGCCUUUGAUACUGGCUAUCUUGAGUACGGGAGAGGUGAGUGGAACUCCGAGUGUAGAGGUGAAAUUCGUAGAUAUUCGGAAGAACACCAGUGGCGAAGGCGGCCUUCUGGACCAAUACUGACGCUCAUGCACGAAAGCGUGGGGAGCAAACAGG